rnacentral:rRNA from 1 species
GACGAACGCUGGCGGCGUGCCUAAUACAUGCAAGUCGAACGCUGAAGGAGGAGCUUGCUCUUCUGGAUGAGUUGCGAACGGGUGAGUAACGCGUAGGUAACCUGCCUGGUAGCGGGGGAUAACUAUUGGAAACGAUAGCUAAUACCGCAUAAGAGUAGAUGUUGCAUGACAUUUACUUAAAAGGUGCAAUUGCAUCACUACCAGAUGGACCUGCGUUGUAUUAGCUAGUUGGUGGGGUAACGGCUUACCAAGGCGACGAUACAUAGCCGACCUGAGAGGGUGAUCGGCCACACUGGGACUGGGACACGGCCCAGACUCCUACGGGCGGCAGCAGUAGGGAAUCUUCGGCAAUGGACGGAAGUCUGACCGAGCAACGCCGCGUGAGUGAAGAAGGUUUUCGGAUCGUAAAGCUCUGUUGUAAGAGAAGAACGAGUGUGAGAGUGGAAAGUUCACACUGUGACGGUAUCUUACCAGAAAGGGACGGCUAACUACGUG